rnacentral:lncRNA from 1 species
UUUAAACUAAACCCCUUUCACAAUUUUUUAGUAAUCCCCUCUGGUCAAUUCUCUUGGCUCAUGGAUGUGUUUUUCUUUCUCUAUGUUCGUGCAUUGUUUUAGUUUUUGUAUAUCUUGUGACGUACUUAGUGGAAUCAUAAUAUAUAGGUGUACUAAUCGAAAUGGGUGUCCCCGAAUGAAUUAUUUAAAUGAGUAUAAUUGCAUACUAAUGAGUUUGAUAUGUUUAAGAAAACGAUAUAAAUGACCGAUAUAAACAAUCUAUCUACAUUUUGAUGCAUGUCACCAC